UACAGAGGGUGCGAGCGUUCAUCGGAAUUACUGGGCGUAAAGCGCGCGUAGGCGGCUUUGCAAGUCGGGUGUGAAAUCCCCAGGCUUAACCUGGGAACUGCAUUCGAGACUGCAUUGCUAGAGUAUGGGAGAGGGAAGUGGAAUUUCCGGUGUAGCGGUGAAAUGCGUAGAUAUCGGAAGGAACACCGAUGGCGAAGGCAGCUCGCUGGGACGGUACUGACGCUGAGGCGCGAAAGCGUGGGGAGCAAACAGG
rnacentral:rRNA from 1 species